AUUGAACGCUGGCGGUAGGCUUAACACAUGCAAGUCGAGCGAGAAAGUAUCUUCGGAUAUGAGUAGAGCGGCGGACGGGUGAGUAACGCGUAGGAAUCUACCUAGUAGAAGGGGAUAGCCCGGGGAAACUCGGAUUAAUACCGUAUACCUCCUAAGGGAGAAAGAGGGCCUCUCUUGAUGCUCUCGCUAUUAGAUGAGCCUGCGUAAGAUUAGCUUGUUGGUAAGGUAAUGGCUUACCAAGGCUACGAUCUUUAGCUGGUCUGAGAGGACGAUCAGCCACAUUGGGACUGAGACACGGCCCAGACUCCUACGGGAGGCAGCAGUGGGGAAUAUUGGACAAUGGGCGCAAGCCUGAUCCAGCCAUACCGCGUGUGUGAAGAAGGCCUUCGGGUUGUAAAGCACUUUAAGCAGGGAGAAAAAGCAAUAAGUUAAUACCUUAUUGCCGUGAUGUUACCUGCAGAAUAAGCACCGGCUAAUUCCG
rnacentral:rRNA from 2 species